UUAAAUGGCCGCAGUAUUUUGACUGUGCAAAGGUAGCAUAAUCAUUAGUUUUUUAAUUAAAAGCUUGUAUGAAAGGCUGGACGAGGUAAAAUCUGUCUCUAUUUAAAUUAUAGUAGAAUUUAACUUUUAAGUUAAAAGGCUUAAAUAUUAUUAAAAGACGAGAAGACCCUAUAGAUCUUUAUAGUUUAUUAAAUUAAAUUAAUUUAGAAAUAUUAAUGUUUUAUUUAGUUAAGUUAUUUUAUUGGGGUAAUAAAAAGAUUGAAUUAAUUCUUUUUUAUAAUAAACAUUAAUUUAUGAAUAUUAAUGAUCCAGUUUUACUGAUUAUAAGAUUAAGUUACCUUAGGGAUAACAGCGUAAUUUUUUUAGAGAGUUCAUAUCGAUAAAAAAGUUUGCGACCUCGAUGUUGGAUUAAAGAUUAUUUUAGGUGUAGAAGCUUAAUAAUUUUGGUCUGUUCGACCAUUAAAUCUUUACAUGAUCUGAGUUCAGACCGGCGUAAGCCAGGUCGGUUUCUAUCUUUAAUAAAAUAAAAUAUUUUAGUACGAAAGGACCAAAUAUUUGAUAUAUUUAUAUUUAAUUUAUUGAAUAUUA
rnacentral:rRNA from 1 species